rnacentral:rRNA from 1 species
UACGUAGGGGGCAAGCGUUGUCCGGAAUCAUUGGGCGUAAAGCGCGUGUAGGCGGUUCGGUAAGUCGGCUGUGAAAGUCCAGGGCUCAACCCUGGGAUGCCGGUGGAUACUGUCGAGCUCGAGUCCGGAAGAGGCGAGUGGAAUUCCUGGUGUAGCGGUGAAAUGCGCAGAUAUCAGGAGGAACACCAAUGGCGAAGGCAGCUCGCUGGGACGUGACUGACGCUGAGACGCGAAAGCGUGGGGAGCAAACAGG